UACGUAGGUGGCAAGCGUUGUCCGGAUUUACUGGGCGUAAAGAGCGCGCAGGCGGUCGUAUAAGUCGAAUGUGAAAGCCCCUGGCUCAACUAGGGAGAGUCAUUCGAUACUGUUCGACUCGAAGGCAGGAGAGGGAAGUGGAAUUCCGGGUGUAGUGGUGAAAUGCGUAGAUAUCAGGAGGAACACCGAUGGCGAAGGCAGGUCUCUGGGCCACUACUGACGCUGAGAAGCGAAAGCAUGGGGAGCGAACAGG
rnacentral:rRNA from 1 species